ensembl:lncRNA
CGAGUGGGCUUUGACAAUGUAGCACCUGUGUCGGGGCCUGACAGGCUUACGGUCAGCAGAGGGAGAAGGCAACAUCAGACUUUACACAACACAACAGAGAAGGAGCAUGAACGGUAGAGGGUAGAGAAGCCAACGCUCUGUGGGCGUUCCAUCAACAUGCUCAGCACUAUUAGAGCAAACAGAGGUCGGACACGAGGUCUAAAGGAGUGAGGACAUGGGAGACAGAGAGGACACCAACAUUGGAGAGGUACCAUCAUCAGAGUGGAUUGGGAGCACCUGGUUCAGGCGCUCCUUAAAGUAUAAAAACCCAGACUCAACUCUGCUCUGGUCUCUCUCUGGCAUUCGGCGGCGGCGGCGGCAGCAGCAGCAGCAGCAGCAGCAGCAGCAGCAGCAGCAGCAGCAGCAGCAGCAGCAGCAGCAGCAGCACUUGUUUUUUUUUCUGCUUUGUUUUCACAAUAUAACUUCUG